rnacentral:rRNA from 1 species
UACGUAGGUGGCUAGCGUUGUCCGGAUUUACUGGGCGUAAAGAGCGCGCAGGCGGUCGUUCAAGUCGAGUGUGAAAGCCCCCGGCUCAACUGGGGAGGGUCACUCGAUACUGAUCGACUCGAAGGCAGGAGAGGGAAGCGGAAUUCCCGGUGUAGUGGUGAAAUGCGUAGAUAUCGGGAGGAACACCAGUGGCGAAGGCGGCUUUCUGGCCUGUUCUUGACACUGAGGCGCGAAAGCUAGGGUAGCAAACGGG